GGGGGAUAGCCCGGGGAAAUCCGGAUUAAUACCGCAUAAUAUUAUUGAAUGGCAUCAUUUAAUAAUCAAACAUUUAUGGGAUUAAGAUGAGCAUGCGUGACAUUAGUUAGUUGGUGAGGUAACGGCUCACCAAGACUACGAUGUCUAGGGGAUCUGAGAGGAUGACCCCCCACACUGGUACUGAGACACGGACCAGACUCCUACGGGAGGCAGCAGUAAGGAAUAUUGGUCAAUGGGGGCAACCCUGAACCAGCCAUGCCGCGUGCAGGAAGACGGCCCUACGGGUUGUAAACUGCUUUUAUACGGGAAUAAACCUCACUACGUGUAGUGAGCUGAAUGUACUGUAAGAAUAAGGAUCGGCUAACUCCGUGCCAGCAGCCGCGGUAAUACGGAGGAUCCAAGCGUUAUCCGGAUUUAUUGGGUUUAAAGGGUGCGUAGGCGGGCCUAUUAAGUCAGGGGUGAAAGACGGUGGCUCAACCAUCGCAGUGCCCUUGAUACUGAUGGGGCUUGAUUACACUUGAGGUAGGCGGAAUGUGACAAGUAGCGGUGAAAUGCAUAGAUAUGUC
rnacentral:rRNA from 1 species